rnacentral:rRNA from 1 species
CCUACGGGUGGCAGCAGUGGGGAAUUUUGGACAAUGGGCGCAAGCCUGAUCCAGCCAUUCCGCGUGCAGGAUGAAGGCCCUCGGGUUGUAAACUGCUUUUGUACGGAACGAAAAGGCUUCCUCUAAUACAGGGAGCUCAUGACGGUACCGUAAGAAUAAGCACCGGCUAACUACGUGCCAGCAGCCGCGGUAAUACGUAGGGUGCAAGCGUUAAUCGGAAUUACUGGGCGUAAAGCGUGCGCAGGCGGUGAUGUAAGACAGGUGUGAAAUCCCCGGGCUUAACCUGGGAACUGCAUUUGUGACUGCAUCGCUGGAGUGCGGCAGAGGGGGAUGGAAUUCCGCGUGUAGCAGUGAAAUGCGUAGAUAUGCGGAGGAACACCGAUGGCGAAGGCAAUCCCCUGGGCCUGCACUGACGCUCAUGCACGAAAGCGUGGGGAGCA